GAUGAACGCUGGCGGCGUGCUUGACACAUGCAAGUCGAACGAAGCAUUUAGAACAGAUUAUUUCGGUAUGAAGUUCUUUAUGACUGAGUGGCGGACGGGUGAGUAACGCGUGGGUAACCUGCCUUGUACUGGGGGAUAGCAGCUGGAAACGGCUGGUAAUACCGCAUAAGCGCACAAUGUUGCAUGACAUGGUGUGAAAAACUCCGGUGGUAUAAGAUGGACCCGCGUCUGAUUAGCUAGUUGGUGAGAUAACAGCCCACCAAGGCGACGAUCAGUAGCCGACCUGGGAGGGUGACCGGCCACAUUGGGACUGAGACACGGCCCAGACUCCUACGGGAGGCAGCAGUGGGGAACAUUGCACAAUGGAGGAAACUCUGAUGCAGCGACGCCGCGUGAGUGAAGAAGUAAUUCGUUAUGUAAAGCUCUAUCAGCAGGGAAGAUAGUGACGGUACCUGACUAAGAAGCUCCGGCUAAAUACGUGCCAGCCGCCGCGGUAA
rnacentral:rRNA from 1 species